AUCCAGCUGACAAGUCCCAAAUAGGAUGAGAUACACGUCCUGGAU
rfam:Schistosoma rodhaini strain Burundi genome assembly, scaffold: SROB_scaffold0002742